AUAAAACUGAUUCUGAAUGUGAUUCUGAUUCGGAAUCAGGGGACAGACCAUCCGCAGGGCCCAAGGGGUCAGCUAAUCCACGACCUGUGACUUCGUAAUGUCUUCCCUCAAGAAAAGUAAAGUCUGCAUCCCAGAAGUGAAAAGAGAGAAAAGAACUCAACGCCUGGAGUAUGGCAGUCAUAAAGCGAUGGUCAUUCAUGCAGACAGGGCCGAGAUACGGACACGUGCAGUCAUAUUGACACCAGGGCAUUUGAGGAAAAUAGUUGAAGCCCCGCCCAUUCUGCAGCUUUCCACCAAUGGGCGACGUGAGGUAAUGAGUCAUAACGAAGGAGAGGUAGAAAAAGUAUUAACAGUCAGCCCCUCUGGGCUGACGUUUCAGUUAUAAAAUCUGUCAAGCUUAACAAAGCUGCGAUUGUGCAAUUGUCUUGAAUUUUCAAAAUAAAACU